UAUUAUUAGUAAUUUUUAUUAAAUAUAAAGCUAGAAAUCAUAUAGUUUUAUUGAUAUGCCAACAAUAACAUGGUGAAUUACAUAUUGUUAUUUUCACUCUCAACUUGUACAACAUGAGAUGCAUAGAAAUGGGAAUUGUCCUGAGCAAGUGCAACAUUUAAACUUCUUGCAAAGUCCAAAUCCGCAACCUGAAAAUGUCAAAAACACAUAUAAAAAUAUUAAAAAGAUAUUGUCAAAAGAGCAAUUUUAUUAAAGUAAAACUAUUUUUUAUUUAGUAAUAUAAAAAAAACAUAACAAUAAAAAAAAAAGAUACGAAUUUCUUACUUGCAACAGAUAUACGAGUGCUACGACUUGCGCCAGACAACUCUAGUUUUAUUGGUGUUGUUGUUUCUGGUGUUGCUAAAGUCAAUGUAGAAAAAAGAACAAACAAGACAAUGAGCAUACACCCCAUAACAUUAGUUGAUUUUGCCAUCUUAAACAACUAUUUUCGUUAUGCUUAUAGGUAUUUUUCCCCUUAUUUUGUUCUACCUUGAUGG
rnacentral:lncRNA from 1 species